rnacentral:lncRNA from 1 species
UGCUAUUCCUGUCUUUGAAAUUAAUGCGGUCUUUCUCAAGAUAAUUAUAGAGGGUCACAUUGUGCCACCAGAUCAGUGAGGCAGGCAGUAACCCCUCAGGAGGUAGGACUGGGAAAGUGCUCAGGACACAGUGGUCAGAAAGACUCACGGGCCAGGGGAACUUGCUUUGAGAAGGGUACCAGUCGGACAGGUGAGAAGCAAAGGCCUUCUCUUACAGGAGCUAACGCCCAGAGGCGGGAUCCCAGAGGGGCAGGACUGAAAGGAGAAGGGAAGGCAGGCCCAGGAGACCAGAUUCAUAUUGGGGACUCAAGCACAGAGGGAUCCACUGGACAGACACCAGGGUGAGUGAAUAAUGGACUUACUGCAUCCCAAGGGGCUCCUGGAAGUGCGUUCCUGCUGUUCUAAACAGGGACACCAGAGGCCUGAUCGAAUGGAACAGUGAAGAACAAAGGAAGGGCUUGAACUAACCUCCGUCCUUGUAGUGGAUGUGCAGGAAUCUGCACCCCAGUGCACGCUCCCUUCAGGAUGAAGGAACUUAUUUUUCCAGUGACCAGGAGCGUGGGCUGCCAGCCAGUCCCUCUCCUUUCCCUGGGGCAGCCAGCACCUAAUGACUGGUUGAUAGGGAGUUACAAAGGGACCAACUCUUCAGGCUGAGGUCCCUGUUGCAUCCACGUUGCCCAAUCGGCUUCCUGCACAGCACAUGACCUUGUUCCCAAGCGCACCUCCCACACACCCCUACAUGCAAAUCUUCAUCUCAGGAACUGUUUCCAGAGAACCUGACACAAGACAAACCAAUAUUUCAGAACUGUUAAUACAAAAAUUAGCCGGGCAUGGUGGCACAUUCCUGUAAUCCCAGCUACUCAGGAGGUUGAGGAAGGAGAAUCGGUUGAACCCAGGAGGGGGAGGUUGCGGUGAGCCAAGAUCACAGCACUGCACUCCAGCCUGGGUGACAGAGUCUUGCUCUGUCCCCCCCACCAAAACAAACAAACAAACAAAAACACACAACUGCUAUGUACACUGUAUGUCAGCUCCAUCACGGGUCCCACUGGGAGGUGUGGGCUAGCCCUGAAACCUGUACCUGUCAUUGUGCACCUAGGGGAAUGCAUUGAGAGGUCAAACGACUGAUUUCCAGUGACCUUUGAGGACAGAGAGAUCGGAGGCCAUAGCUAGCCCCAGAGAGCGGUGGCACCUCAGGAUUCCCAGGCUGGAAAAGUUCUUUUUUGGCAUUUUAAUCCAGGGCUUGGCAGCCUUCACCGUUCGGAAGUUCUUCCUCACUUCAAGCCCGGAAUCCCUCCUUCUGUAAUGUGUCCCUGUUUCCUCUCCCUUUUCCUCUGUGGAGCUGUGUUCUCGCCAAGAAAGAAAGUUAAAAGGGAACAAAGGCAUAUGGUUUUUCUAUUAAGACAGACACCCACAUUUUAGGGAAGCCAGAGGAAAGCGUUCAAAUAAGGGC